AGGGUUCGAUUAUGGCUCAGAACGUACGCUGGCGGCACGCCUAACACAUGCAAGUCGAACGAAGUAGCAAUACUUAGUGGCAGACGGGUGAGUAACAUGUAGGUAUCUACCCUUUGGCCUGGAAUAACACGAGGAAACUUGUGCUAAUACCGGAUAAGUCUUUACGGAGAAAGCUUUAUGCACCAUUGGAUGAGCCUGCACUUGAUUAGUUUGUUGGUAAGGUAAUGGCUUACCAAGACUAUGAUCAAUAGCUGAUUUGAGAGGAUGAUCAGCCACAUUGGGACUGAGACACGGCCCAAACUCCUACGGGAGGCAGCAGUGGGGAAUCUUGCACAAUGGAGGAAACUCUGAUGCAGCGAUGCCGCGUGAGUGAAGAAGGCCUUUGGGUUGUAAAGCUCUUUCGUCGGGGAAGAAAAUGACUGUACCCGAAUAAGAAGGUCCGGCUAACUUCGUGCCAGCAGCCGCGGUAAU
rnacentral:rRNA from 1 species